rnacentral:rRNA from 1 species
UUAAGCGACUAAGCGUACACGGUGGAUGCCCUGGCAGUCAGAGGCGAUGAAGGACGUGCUAAUCUGCGAAAAGCGUCGGUAAGGUGAUAUGAACCGUUAUAACCGGCGAUGUCCGAAUGGGGAAACCCAGUGCAAUUCGUUGCACUAUCGUUAACUGAAUACAUAGGUUAACGAGGCGAACCGGGGAACUGAAACAUCUAAGUACCCCGAGGAAAAGAAAUCAACCGAGAUUCCCCCAGUAGCGGCGAGCGAACGGGGAGCAGCCCAGAGUCUGAAUCAGCUUGUGUGUUAGUGGAACGGUCUGGAAAGUCCGACGGUACAGGGUGAUAGUCCCGUACACCAAAAUGCACAGGCUGUGAACUCGAAGAGUAGGGCGGGACACGUGGUAUCCUGUCUGAAUAUGGGGGGGACCAUCCUCCAAGGCUAAAUACUCCUGACUGACCGAUAGUGAACCAGUACCGUGAGGGAAAGGCGAAAAGAACCCCGGCGAGGGGAGUGAAAAAGAACCUGAAACCGUGUACGUACAAGCAGUGGGAGCACCUUCGGGUGUGACUGCGUACCUUUUGUAUAAUGGGUCAGCGACUUAUAUUCUGUAGCAAGGUUAACCGUAUAGGGGAGCCGCAGGGAAACCGAGUCUUAACUGGGCGUUAAGUUGCAGGGUAUAGACCCGAAACCCGGUGAUCUAGCCAUGGGCAGGUUGAAGGUUGGGUAACACUAACUGGAGGACCGAACCGACUAAUGUUGAAAAAUUAGCGGAUGACUUGUGGCUGGGGGUGAAAGGCCAAUCAAACCGGGAGAUAGCUGGUUCUCCCCGAAAGCUAUUUAGGUAGCGCCUCGUGAAUUCAUCUUCGGGGGUAGAGCACUGUUUCGGCUAGGGGGUCAUCCCGACUUACCAACCCGAUGCAAACUACGAAUACCGAAGAAUGUUAUCACGGGAGACACACGGCGGGUGCUAACGUCCGUCGUGAAGAGGGAAACAACCCAGACCGCCAGCUAAGGUCCCAAAGUCAUGGUUAAGUGGGAAACGAUGUGGGAAGGCACAGACAGCCAGGAUGUUGGCUUAGAAGCAGCCAUCAUUUAAAGAAAGCGUAAUAGCUCACUGAUCGAGUCGGCCUGCGCGGAAGAUGUAACGGGGCUAAACCAUGCACCGAAGCUGCGGCAGCGACACUAUGUGUUGUUGGGUAGGGGAGCGUUCUGUAAGCCUGCGAAGGUGACCUGUGAGGGUUGCUGGAGGUAUCAGAAGUGCGAAUGCUGACAUAAGUAACGAUAAAGCGGGUGAAAAGCCCGCUCGCCGGAAGACCAAGGGUUCCUGUCCAACGUUAAUCGGGGCAGGGUGAGUCGACCCCUAAGGCGAGGCCGAAAGGCGUAGUCGAUGGGAAACAGGUUAAUAUUCCUGUACUUGGUGUUACUGCGAAGGGGGGACGGAGAAGGCUAUGUUAGCCGGGCGACGGUUGUCCCGGUUUAAGCAUGUAGGCUGGUUAUCCAGGCAAAUCCGGAUAAUCAAGGCUGAGGUGUGAUGACGAGGCACUACGGUGCUGAAGUAACAAAUGCCCUGCUUCCAGGAAAAGCCUCUAAGCAUCAGGUAACAUUAAAUCGUACCCCAAACCGACACAGGUGGUCAGGUAGAGAAUACCAAGGCGCUUGAGAGAACUCGGGUGAAGGAACUAGGCAAAAUGGUGCCGUAACUUCGGGAGAAGGCACGCUGGUGUGUAGGUGAAGUCCCUGCGGAUGGAGCUGAGACCAGUCGAAGAUACCAGCUGGCUGCAACUGUUUAUUAAAAACACAGCACUGUGCAAACACGAAAGUGGACGUAUACGGUGUGACGCCUGCCCGGUGCCGGAAGGUUAAUUGAUGGGGUUAUCCGUAAGGAGAAGCUCUUGAUCGAAGCCCCGGUAAACGGCGGCCGUAACUAUAACGGUCCUAAGGUAGCGAAAUUCCUUGUCGGGUAAGUUCCGACCUGCACGAAUGGCGUAAUGAUGGCCAGGCUGUCUCCACCCGAGACUCAGUGAAAUUGAACUCGCUGUGAAGAUGCAGUGUACCCGCGGCAAGACGGAAAGACCCCGUGAACCUUUACUAUAGCUUGACACUGAACAUUGAGCCUUGAUGUGUAGGAUAGGUGGGAGGCUUUGAAGCGUGGACGCCAGUCUGCGUGGAGCCAACCUUGAAAUACCACCCUUUAAUGUUUGAUGUUCUAACGUUGGCCCCUGACCGGGGUUGCGGACAGUGUCUGGUGGGUAGUUUGACUGGGGCGGUCUCCUCCCAAAGCGUAACGGAGGAGCACGAAGGUUAGCUAAUCCUGGUCGGACAUCAGGAGGUUAGUGCAAUGGCAUAAGCUAGCUUGACUGCGAGCGUGACGGCGCGAGCAGGUGCGAAAGCAGGUCAUAGUGAUCCGGUGGUUCUGAAUGGAAGGGCCAUCGCUCAACGGAUAAAAGGUACUCCGGGGAUAACAGGCUGAUACCGCCCAAGAGUUCAUAUCGACGGCGGUGUUUGGCACCUCGAUGUCGGCUCAUCACAUCCUGGGGCUGAAGUAGGUCCCAAGGGUAUGGCUGUUCGCCAUUUAAAGUGGUACGCGAGCUGGGUUUAGAACGUCGUGAGACAGUUCGGUCCCUAUCUGCCGUGGGCGCUGGAGAAUUGAGGGGGGCUGCUCCUAGUACGAGAGGACCGGAGUGGACGCAUCACUGGUGUUCGGGUUGUCAUGCCAAUGGCACUGCCCGGUAGCUAAAUGCGGAAGAGAUAAGUGCUGAAAGCAUCUAAGCACGAAACUUGCCCCGAGAUGAGUUCUCCCUGAGACUUUAAGUCUCCUGAAGGAACGUUAAAGACGAUGACGUUGAUAGGCCGGGUGUGUAAGCGCAGCGAUGCGUUGAGCUAACCGGUACUAAUGAACCGUGAGGCUUAACCUU